rnacentral:lncRNA from 1 species
GGAAUGAAAAGAAAAAUGUUGAUAAAUAACCCAAUAUUUUUUAUUAAAUUUCGUGACAGAUCGAAUAAAUACUAUAUCAGAAAUGUUGGUGUUUUUUCUUUUUAAUCGGGCGAAGGACAAAGUUAAUCAAGCGAAAACAAGUAGUUCUAGUGUUGUUACAAUCUAUAUGUGAAUUAGAUAAGCUCAAGAAAUUUAUGUAUCUAACACAGAUAAUUGAUCUCGCCAAGCCAAAGCCACCGUAGCUUAGAUAGUAGUUAAGGCAUCAUCUGUGACAGGUGUUUACGUGUUAUGACAUACACG